ACAGGGCCUCUGGCAGGAUUGCUGUGGCUCUCGCUGUGUGGCCUGCACUGCGCCUGGGGGGUGGCGGGCUGACGCUGGGAGGGCCUGCGCGGGCAGGCGGGCUGCCAGGCGCCCUGGUGCGGUGGCAUCCACGGCCUGAUGCAGAAGAGGCCACUGCGGUCCCAGAAAUCAGCCUGUCCCAAACCAGGAGAUGGCGGACAACCACCCCCGGCCUCGUGUGGUCUCCCGAGAGCCCAGUCGUGACCCUGUUUUCGGGUUCCCUCCAUGCAUAAAAGCACCGCAGCAAACUCGCUUAUCCGCACUCGGGGGCCGAGUCAGCCUGUCCCGAGCAGACAGGUCCCUGAGUCGUGGAGGCUGCAGGUCCAAGGUCCUGGGGCCGCAGAUGAGGUGUCGGGGCGACGGUGGGGUGCAGCUUCUGUGAGCUCACGGCGGAAGGGCAGGCACCCUCUGCGGCCUCCUUCAUAAGGACACGAGAUGACCUCCCAAUACCUUCCCGGAGGUUAGGGUUUAACAGAUGAACCUGGGAGCCGCACCCACAUUCAGACGGCAGCGUGUCCUUUGUGUGCCCAGGGCUGGCACUCAGGACGCCCUCCAGUUUCUGAACACGGUGUCCAGGGUCACUCAAGGCCAUCGUAAGCUGGGUCUCCCUCCACAAGUGGCCACGGGUGUCCUGAGUGCUGAGUUAUUCCUGGAAAGGCUGCGCCGCUGUUUAGGACUUGGCCCCGUAAGUCCUUCUACUUGUCUCACCUGGGUGUCUCUAGCUGCUGCUGCUGCGGAAGACUUUCCCUGUCCUGUGUGCAUCCUGUCCGCUGCCUCCUUCCUCCUGGCAGCGUGUGCCCAGCUCUCACCUGCACCCCACAAAGGCACUGACUGUCCCUCACACUGCGGCGGCCGCCCUGCGUGAGUCGGCCAGGCCCUGCUGCCCCUCCUGCAAGGAGGGUCAGCACCACAGCCGCCCGGCCCGCAGCCUUCUUGGGAGCAGGCGGCAGCAGCUGCCUAACAGCUGCACUAAAUGUUAGAGGGAAAUUUAGGACAAAAGAGGAAGACGAUUGGCGCAUCCGAUUUAAACUGAGGGGAGGCAUCCAGAAGCCAAAACAGUGCUGCCCUAAUUCACGCGCAGAGCGAGCCACGGGUUUGCAGCCUCUGACAGGAAACCAAAAUACUCACCCAGUUUCCUUCUGUGCGAGGGAUCCAGACUCACCUGACAAGGAGCCUGCAGACGUCCCCUAACCUCUGCGGGGCGGCCUCAGACACCCUCGGGCCGCAGGGUCAGAGGCGCACGUGUGCUGGACUGGCCGGAGCGUCUGCCCUGCAGGCCGGGUUGAGGCCGGGAGGGCAUGUGGGAGGAGCCAGAAGCACCUGGGCAGACAGGUGCCCUGCCCGCAGCUCCAGCUCCAGCUCCAGCCCAAAGCCCGGCGUUCCUGGGCCCUCGCACCCCAGUCAUGGGUGGGCUCUCGGCCCAGGCCCCCAGCUGGGGGAGGUGGUCCCGUGGGAGCAGAGCCUGUCCCCAGGGAAGGGCUUAGGGGGAGGGGUCUGGGGGAGGACCUGAGGUGGCAGGCCUUAUCUCAGAGCUGCCUUCAGCCACCUAAAGCCCCUAGAUGAGGGCCCCACCCUCGGUGGAACCGCCAGGCCCAGCUGGCUGUCGGGGGCUGAUCUGUAGAAAGUGAGUGGCGGUGACGGUGGUGGCGGCCGGGGCGGGGGGCCUCUGGCUCCCCCUCCCCACCAUGGACCGGGCUCUGAGCGGCCACUCCUGCUGGCCUCGUCUCGGCCUCCAACUCUGACACAGGGUCGGUGCUGGGCGGAGUGUGGGAACCUCCGGUUUCCGGAGCCCAUCGGAGCCUCAACCACAGACCCGCAGUAAGACCCCGAGAGGGAUGUGCCUUCAGCCCCGUCCAUGAGGCAAGGGGACAGGGGGAAACAACUCCCUCUGCCCGGGGUCGGGGCGAAGUGCAUUAUGUGAAAAGGGCUUCUAAACCCAGCUCCGGUUCACCCUUCCACUUCGAGCGUGUAAGAUGCCGGCGGCGGGGAAGGAGCUCCUGCUGCGGCACAGCGCUCACGAACCCGACCAGAAUCCAUGAGGACGCAGGUUCGAUCUCUGGCUUCACGCUAUGGGUUAAGGAGCCGGCGUUGCCAUGAGCUGUGGUGUAGGUCACAGACGCAGCUCAGAUCCAUCACUGCUGUGGUGUACACCGGCAGCUGCAUCUCCAAUUCGACCUCCAUAUGCCGCACGUGCGGCCCCAAAAAGACAAAAAACAAAAAAGUCCGGCAGAGGGUAGAGUUCCCAAGUGGCCUAGUGGUUAAGGACUUGGCGUCGUUACUGCUUUGGCUUGGGUUCAGUCCCUAGCCCCCAUGUCCAGGGGGUCCCUCCCACUGUGGAGACUAAAGGGGGGCAGCCAGGUGAGCCAUCAAGAAGAAAGGCACCGUCCCCUGGGGUCGGCACCUGUUCCCACCCGCCUGCUGCCUGGACUCAGG
rnacentral:lncRNA from 9 species